rnacentral:rRNA from 1 species
ACGAAGGGUGCGAGCGUUGUUCGGAAUUACUGGGCGUAAAGGGAGCGUAGGCGGUUAGAUAAGAUAGGGGUGAAAUUCCAAGGCUUAACCUUGGGACUGCCUUUAUAACUAUUUAGCUAGAGUAUGGUAGAGGUAAGCGGAAUACCCAGUGUAGAGGUGAAAUUCGUAGAUCUUGGGUAGAACACCGAAUGCGAAGGCGGCUUACUGUGCCAUUACUGACGCUGAUGCGCGACCUCGUGGGUAGCAAACAG